GACGAACGCUGGCGGCGUGCUUAACACAUGCAAGUCGAACGGAAAGGCCCUGCUUUUGUGGGGUGCUCGAGUGGCGAACGGGUGAGUAACACGUGAGUAACCUGCCCUUGACUUUGGGAUAACUUCAGGAAACUGGGGCUAAUACCGGAUAGGAGCUCCUGCUGCAUGGUGGGGGUUGGAAAGUUUCGGCGGUUGGGGAUGGACUCGAGGCUUAUCAGCUUGUUGGUGGGGUAGUGGCUUACCAAGGCUUUGACGGGUAGCCGGCCUGAGAGGGUGACCGGCCACAUUGGGACUGAGAUACGGACCAGACUCCUACGGGAGGCAGCAGUGGGGAAUAUUGCACAAUGGGCGGAAGCCUGAUGCAGCAACGCCGCGUGCGGGAUGACGGCCUUCGGGUUGUAAACCGCUUUCGCCUGUGACGAAGCGUGAGUGACGGUAAUGGGUAAAGAAGCACCGGCUAACUACGUG
rnacentral:rRNA from 1 species